AGUGAACGCUGGCGGUAGGCCUAACACAUGCAAGUCGAACGGCAGCACAGUAAGAGCUUGCUCUUACGGGUGGCGAGUGGCGGACGGGUGAGGAAUACAUCGGAAUCUACUUUUUCGUGGGGGAUAACGUAGGGAAACUUACGCUAAUACCGCAUACGACCUACGGGUGAAAGCAGGGGAUCUUCGGACCUUGCGCGUUUGAAUGAGCCGAGGUCGGAUUAGCUAGUUGGCGGGGUAAAGGCCCACCAAGGCGACGAUCCGUAGCUGGUCUGAGAGGAUGAUCAGCCACACUGGAACUGAGACACGGUCCAGACUCCUACGGGAGGCAGCAGUGGGGAAUAUUGGACAAUGGGCGCAAGCCUGAUCCAGCCAUACCGCGUGGGUGAAGAAGGCCUUCGGGUUGUAAAGCCCUUUUGUUGGGAAAGAAAAGCAGCAGGUUAAUACCCCGCUGUCCUGACGGUACCCAAAGAAUAAGCACCGGCUAACUUCGUG
rnacentral:rRNA from 1 species